AUUGAACGCUGGCGGCCGGCCUAACCCAUGCAAGUCGAGCUAGCGUCGAACGGGUGCGUAAUAUCUGUGAAACUGCCUGAUCACGAGGGAUAACUACUGUAAACGGUAUCUACUACCGCAUACCCUCAUAUGUGCCCAGAUGGGAUUAGAUAGUAGGUGGGGUAACGGCUCACCUCGUCGACGAUCCCUAGCUGGUCUGAGAGGAUGACCAGCAACAAUGGAACGGAGACACGGUCCAGACUCCUACGGGAGGCAGCAGUGGGGAAUAUUGCACAAUGGGCGCAAGCCUGAUGCAGCCAUGCGGCGUGUGUGAAGAAGGCCUUCGGGUUGUAAAGCACUUUCAGCGGGGAGGCGUUACCCGCAGAAGAAGCACCGGCUAACUCCGUGCCAGCAGCCGAGGUAAUAC
rnacentral:rRNA from 1 species